rnacentral:tRNA from 1 species
GAUAAGAUGGCAGAUAGAAUGUGGCAGAUUGUAAAUUUGUUAAUGAAGGUUCGAUUCCUUUUCUUGUUA